rnacentral:rRNA from 1 species
UACGAAGGGGGCUAGCGUUGUUCGGAAUUACUGGGCGUAAAGGGCGCGUAGGCGGUACUUCAAGUCAGGCGUGAAAGCCCCGGGCUCAACCUGGGAACCGCGCUUGAGACUGGAGAACUAGAGUUCGGGAGAGGAUGGUGGAAUUCCCAGUGUAGAGGUGAAAUUCGCAGAUAUUGGGAAGAACACCGAUGGCGAAGGCAGCCAUCUGGACCGACACUGACGCUGAGGCGCGAAAGCGUGGGGAGCAAACAGG